UACGUAGGUGGCAAGCGUUGUCCGGAAUUAUUGGGCGUAAAGCGCGCGCAGGCGGUCCUUUAAGUCUGAUGUGAAAGCCCACGGCUCAACCGUGGAGGGUCAUUGGAAACUGGGGGACUGAGUGCAGAAGAGGAAAGCGGAAUUCCACGUGUAGCGGUGAAAUGCGCAGAUAUCGGGAAGAACACCCGUGGCGAAGGCGGCUCUCUGGGACGGUACUGACGCUGAGACGCGAAAGCGUGGGGAGCGAACAGG
rnacentral:rRNA from 1 species